CCUGAGAGGCACGUAAGAGGGGCUGAGCCAAAGCUGGCAAUCCCUUCCCUUUUAAUGGUCUUUUGCUUCCUGUGGAAAAGACUAGCACUCCUCCCUCAGAGGCCCCCUUGGCUUUGCUGCCUUCCCCAGUGGGAUCCCUCCAAGGACUCAAAGCUGAAACAGCAGGAAUGUGGGAGACUUGUUGGUUUUGUCUCCGCAGCAGAACUCCCUCACAAUUGGUGGAACUCCUUUAAAAAAUGGAGAAGACUGGAUGCCUUCCGGUGGGCAUCAUUUUACUGUUCCUACAAGGUUGCAAUUCUGUGUGAAGAUUCUGAGGAUUAACCAAUCAUUUGGAGCAGGUUUUACUUUCCAUGAUAGGGGCUGAUCAGAGUUCCAUGUCAACAACAUCUGGAGAGCCACAAGAUCCCUGCCCCAUUUCAGUGUUUGGGGAUCUGUUCUGUAUAUGAUGAUUAUUCUCUAAGUUGUACUAUGCCACUACUCUCACAUUCCAUAUAGCCUUUUGUGGCAAACUAGGUUUUCUAGGUUUCACCUUCUUGCUAUCAUGUUCAGAUAUGA